rnacentral:rRNA from 1 species
AGUGAACGCUGGCGGCAGGCCUAACACAUGCAAGUCGAGCGGAUGAAGGGAGCUUGCUCCUGGAUACAGCGGCGGACUGGUGAGUAAUGCCGAGGAACCUGCCUGGUAGUGUGGGAUAACGUCCGGAAACGGGCGCUAAUACGGCAUACGUCCUGAGGGAGUACGUGGGGGAUCUUCGGACCUCACGCUCUCGGAUGAGCCUAGGUCGGAUUAGCUAGUUGGUGGGGUAAAGGCCUACCAAGGCGACGAUCCGUAACUGGUCUGAGAGGAUGAUCAGUCACACUGGAACAGAGACACGGUCCAGACUCCUACGGGAGGCAGCAGUGGGGAAUAUUGGACAAUGGGCGAAAGCCUGAUCCAGCCAUGCCGCGUGUGUGAAGAAGGUCUUCGGAUUGUAAAGCACUUUAAGUUGGGAGGAAGAGCAGUAAGUUAAUACCUUGCUGUUUUGACGUUACCAACAGAAUAAGCACCGGCUAACUUCGUG